rnacentral:lncRNA from 1 species
CACCAGUAAACAGAGGUGGGGAGGCUCGCACACAGGCGGUGCUAACGCAGCUCCUCCGAGAGAAACACGGCGGAGCCAAGGCACCAGGUCACUUAAAUCUCUCCAAAUUUCAGGGGAGCCUUGACAACACCUCAGAGAGACAACUCAGGACCUCUGAGCAGGGGCAAAGCUAGCCAGGACGAUGCAGGUGGCCCUUCCCCUCCAUACCUCAUACAACUUGGCUCACAUGGCCUCUUUGGGGGUCUGAAAAAGAUGCCCCUCUGGGCUGAGCAGCCCCACAAUCUCACAACUUGUUAAGUGGAGCAUGGAUUGACUUUCAGCUUCUACUGACCCUUUGGGCCAGGCACACUUGUUCAGUGAACAAUCAGCCCAACCAUACAUGGCAGCUGUGACCACAGACAUUGUCUUUAUC